UCCGUAGGUGAACCUGCGGAGGGAUCAUUACACAAAUAUGAAGGCGGGCUGGAACCUCUCGGGGUUACAGCCUUGCUGAAUUAUUCACCCUUGUCUUUUGCGUACUUCUUGUUUCCUUGGUGGGUUCGCCCACCACUAGGACAAACAUAAACCUUUUGUAAUUGCAAUCAGCGUCAGUAACAAAUUAAUAAUUACAACUUUCAACAACGGAUCUCUUGGUUCUGGCAUCGAUGAAGAACGCAGCGAAAUGCGAUAAGUAGUGUGAAUUGCAGAAUUCAGUGAAUCAUCGAAUCUUUGAACGCACAUUGCGCCCUUUGGUAUUCCAAAGGGCAUGCCUGUUCGAGCGUCAUUUGUACCCUCAAGCUUUGCUUGGUGUUGGGCGUCUUGUCUCUAGCUUUGCUGGAGACUCGCCUUAAAGUAAUUGGCAGCCGGCCUACUGGUUUCGGAGCGCAGCACAAGUCGCACUCUCUAUCAGCAAAGGUCUAGCAUCCAUUAAGCCUUUUUUUCAACUUUUGACCUCGGAUCAGGUAGGGAUACCCGCUGAACUUAUUACCCAGCUACAUCAAU
rnacentral:rRNA from 1 species